UAAAAAAAUACCAUAACUGGGUCACUCUCUCUCGACCUCACCUCACCGCCCACACUGCUCUCUCCCUGCUCUCUCCCUCACUGUGGAGCGGCUGGAGCCUUUCUUCACCACACAGAGCCACGGCCACCGCUCUCUCUCGCGCUUCUCUCUCUCUCGACUUCUCAUCCCUUCCCUAGUCCCAGUUUUUUGCCCUACCGCCAUUUCUGUUACCCCUCUCUCUCUUUCCUCUCUCUCUCUUUUCUCGCCGCCAUCUUCACUUGGCUCUCUCCAAGGUAUGUGAAGCUUUCAUGUGAUUUCAAUUUUGUUUUUACUUCAACUUCCUGUUUGGUUGCCGAGAAAAUGCUAGGAAAAUUUAGUUUUUGUUAUCCUAUAUUUUAGUUGUCGAGUUCGACGAGCAUCUUUGUGAUACUUACUGUGUAAUGUAAAUUUUGUUUCUUUAUUAUCCUAGGUUUUGAAAUUUGAGCCUUUUUUUCUUUCUGGUUGAAAUUUUAGUUUUGUUUAAUUUCAUUGUUGGGGUUUUAGGGGAAUUAGGGAAUCGAUUAUUUCACCUACUUGUAUUUUAAUUUUAAUUUCUCUGAAUUUUGAGAAACUUCUAGAGAAGUUGUUUGUCUCGGCAACCAAGCAGAGAGUUAGGGUUACGUGUUGUUGGAAUGCUAGAAUUUUGAUCCAAUUAAACCUAGAAAUGGAGAAAUUUCAACUGAUCCAAUUAUCUGCGAUCAGCGCAUCCCGAAAAUUUUCAAUUUGGGAUUCGGAAUACUAGUUUUCGUUUGGUAUACCAUACCAAACCAACCCUAGAUGCAGGUGUUCAUUGAGAUGGUGAGUGUGAUAUGAUCCGAAACAUGCAUAUAUAAUCCAUUCUGAACUCUCGAUCCCUCUUCCUUUCUGUCUCUGCCGUCAGAUUGGAUUGGGUUUGUGCUAACUCCACAAUCACCAAGCUGGUUCUGGGAUUUUUAUUUCGCUUGAAGUUUUCAACGUAUUUGGGACUAAAACUAUAUUAAUAAUUGACUUGAAAUUGGACUUAAAAUAUAAAUAUCUAACAUAAAAAAAAGUUCGGUUUGGUUCUGUUUUUGAACCAUUAAAAUCGAAACCAGACCAAAACAUUUCGGUUUGGUUCGGUUUUGUUUAAUUUGGUUAGAUUUUUUUCGAUUUCGGGUCAGUUUUUUUUCGGUUUUCGAUUUUUUUAACCCACCCCUAAUUCUAGCUCAAUCCUUCUACAUUUCUUUUAUUGAAAAUUCGGAGAAAAUUUUAACGAAGUGUAGUUAUCCACUAUUUUAGUUAGUAACUCAAGUGAUUAAAACUUAAAAGCAUUCAUAUGUGCACUUGAAUGGGUGUUAAAAGCGCGUGUCCUUACAUUCUAAUCUACUAGCCUUGAUGCAUGCAUAAGCGCGUGCAAAUGACAUUUUUUGAAUCACGGAGUGAUACGCGCAACUUAUACAUUUUAAAUGUAUUUAUAUACGUGAAUUGCUUUAAUAAUUUUUUUAUGACAAAAAGUAAGUCAAAUAUUUAGACCAAAUGAAUAAUAUUAGAUCAUGCUAGAAGAAACUUUUCAUAAACCUAUCAAAACAGAUGAAUUCACAAAAUAAAAUCGAUCUUUCAAUUUCCAUCUUCCUUAUAUUGAAUUUAAAUUAAAAAUAAAGAAAACAAUAUUUAAUAAACAAUUGAUUGAAUCACAUUAUUGUUAGUCUAUUGUAAGGUUAAACUCACCCCCUCCCCUUUAGUGUAUAUAACACCGUUUGUUCAAAAAAAAAAAAAAUUAACGAUCAUUUGACAACUAAUUGAAUCACAUUCUUAUGCGAGUGCGAAAAAAUCUUUUUUAUAACUGACACUACAUGCCUCUUAAUUGUUUGAAAUAGAGAAAAUAAUAUUUAAUGAACAACUGAUUGAAUCAUAUUAUUGCGCGUGCGAAAGUCUUUUUAUUACUGGUGGUACGCGUUUCUUAAGAUGUUUUGAACGUGUUUAAAAAUACAGAAAAUAAUAUUUAAUAAACAAUUGAUUGAAUCACAUUAUUGCUAGCUCAUUGUGAGGCUAAGUGUGACAGUCCGUCCUGAAAUAUUUAUUUUCGACGGCAUGAAAUUGCUUAUAUACCCUUGGACGUUUUGUGUGGUGGUGUGGUAGGUUAGAUUUUGGACCAAUUAGUACCAAGUCCUAUUAUUUUGGAACCAAUUAGGACUUAGUUUUGUUUGGUUUGUGACCAACUAGGACCACACACACACAAACACCCAUACCCUUUCUCUCUCUCCCGUUGACUCUCCCUCUCUCUUGGGUUUUUGCCAUCGUCUGUACCAUUGUACGGACCAUCUUCGAACCAACCUGUGUCUUCACAGAUCGAUGUUAAAAAUGUAAUAUUCUUGUUCCCUACAAGCUCCUGAGUCGAUUCGUACUAUUUUUAGGACUUGAAAACUUCGAAAACCCGAGAAACCAAUAUCCCAGUUUUGAGGUACUAUUCAUGUGGUCAUAAUUAUGGAUGUUUCAAGAGAUUUUAAGCUUGGAGGAAGCUUUAGAACGUCUGUAGGAAGCUUGGAGAAGAAACACCAAGUAGUUUGGAUGGCGGGAAGUCGAGUUUGACGAGUUGUAAGUUUUGGCCAAAUUAUCGAGUUCUCUCCGUCGAGAUUCUAUGGAUUUCAAGCCUUGAAAUUGUUUUCCGGCGACGACAACGGUCAUCGGAGUCGAAGGAAGAAGACAAGCGAAUAUUCCGUCAAAGUUGACGGAAUAUUCUAAUAGCGUCAGGUGAGAACUAUCCAGAGGAUGAGCGUAGUCAAGGGCGACUCGGGGGCUAUGACCCUUCGACAUACCAGUUUUAGGUAAGCUUGUCCGUUGGUGUCCCACAAGGAUUGAACGGAGGUUCUGACAAACUAUCACUAUGUAGGACAUCUUUGGGUGUCGUUUAAUUAGUACUUGCUUUCUGGACUGAACUUAGGCUACUCUCGCUCUGAUUGUGUAUUCACACAUAUUCUAGCACUUGUCUCAACUAGUACUCUUAUGAGUUGGUUUUCAUUCUUUAUUUAUCAUUAUUGCUUCUG